rnacentral:rRNA from 1 species
UACGUAGGGUGCGAGCGUUAAUCGGAAUUACUGGGCGUAAAGCGUGCGCAGGCGGUUUUGUAAGCCAGAUGUGAAAUCCCCCAGGCUUAACCUGGGAACUGCGUGUGAUACUGGAUGGCUUGAAUUCGGGAGAGGGAUGCAGAAUUCCAGGUGUAGCGGUGAAAUGCGUAGAUAUCUGGAGGAAUACCGGUGGCGAAGGCGGCAUCCUGGACCGACAUUGACGCUGAGGAGCGAAAGCUAGGGGAGCAAACGGG